rnacentral:rRNA from 1 species
AUUGAACGCUGGCGGCAUGCCUUACACAUGCAAGUCGAACGGCAGCACGGGUGCUUGCACCUGGUGGCGAGUGGCGAACGGGUGAGUAAUACAUCGGAACAUGUCCUGUAGUGGGGGAUAGCCCGGCGAAAGCCGGAUUAAUACCGCAUACGAUCUACGGAUGAAAGCGGGGGACCUUCGGGCCUCGCGCUAUCGGGUUGGCCGAUGGCUGAUUAGCUAGUUGGUGGGGUAAAGGCCUACCAAGGCGACGAUCAGUAGCUGAUCUGAGAGGACGACCAGCCACACUGGGACUGAGACACGGCCCAGACUCCUACGGGAGGCAGCAGUGGGGAAUUUUGGACAAUGGGCGAAAGCCUGAUCCAGCAAUGCCGCGUGUGUGAAGAAGGCCUUCGGGUUGUAAAGCACUUUUGUCCGGAAAGAAAUCCUUGGCCCUAAUACGGUCGGGGGAUGACGGUACCGGAAGAAUAAGCACCGGCUAACUACGUG